ensembl:lncRNA
AACUACCUCCGGCGUACAGGAGGAUUCAUCCCGCUUUCCAUGUGUCCAAAAUUAAACCUGUGUUUUAUUCACGAAUUUACCCGCCCACCCCGGUUCCCCCCCCGCCGCAACUCGUAGAUGGGGAACCCACCUAUUCGGUAAAUUGUAUUCUGGACUUGAGACGGAGGGGACGAGGAUUCCAGUACUUGGUGGACUGGGAAGGUUACGGUCUGGAGGAGAGGAGUUGGGUACCUGCUAGGGAAAAACUGUAUCACUCCCUGAUUGAUGAUUACAAUCGACAGGUAGGGUCAGCUGGGAACGCCAGGAGGCAUUCCUAGAGGGGAGGGUACUGUCACUGGUUCAAAGAUGGUGCCAGUGCACUCGGCAUGCCGUCUCUCUUGUGUGUUUCAGUCUGUAGUAACGUUACCUGUACUGUUUGUUCUCUGUGUGGUGUUGCACUGGUAUCAUGUAGACUCAGUGCUGACCUACGAUUGCCAAGCCCUAUUUAACAUCAAAUGUUGUAUGGAAGCUGGUUACCUGAGAAACUGCCCAGUUCUCUACUCUCGCUCUCAAUCCUCUUUCAAUCAUGGUGCGCCAGAGUGCGUUUACCAGUUACCCUGCUGUGUUCCUCCUGUACGGAAACGCCGCAGAAAGAGAGGUUGUCGCGGCGGUGUUCGAGUGAGAAUUAGACGGGCGAUUGCUUCCACCUUACAAUUCUCAACCCAGUUUUCCCUGGAUACAACAUAUUUGGAGGGGCAUAACCUGGCGCGACGCUCCUGGGAUUAUAUAUAUGCUUUUCAUCUUCCAGUUUUCGGUGAUUCUUCUACCUCCGCUUUGCCGCGUUUACGACUUCGCCGGAGAGGCGUGGAACAUUUAAAUCUUCGCCAACUGGAUUUUGUUCGACUGGAUCGGAACCCGGAACUACAGUCUCAUCUCAACAUGGCCCUAAUCAAUGCUAGGUCCGUGUGCAACAAGACUUUUAUUUUAAAUGACUUUUAUACCGGACAUAAGUUGGAUAUACUUUUCCUAACGGAGACAUGGGCCUCUGCUGGUGAGUCAUCAGUUUUUGAAGAACUGUGUCCGCCGGACUGUUGUUUUAUUAGUACACCACGUUGUACUGGCAAGGGCGGUGGGGUUGCUAUGGUUUUUAAACAA